rnacentral:rRNA from 1 species
CCUACGGGGCGCAGCAGUGAGGAAUAUUGGUCAAUGGACGAGAGUCUGAACCAGCCAAGUAGCGUGAAGGAUGACUGCCCUAUGGGUUGUAAACUUCUUUUAUAUGGGAAUAAAAUGUUCCACGUGUGGGAUUUUGUAUGUACCAUAUGAAUAAGGAUCGGCUAACUCCGUGCCAGCAGCCGCGGUAAUACGGAGGAUCCGAGCGUUAUCCGGAUUUAUUGGGUUUAAAGGGAGCGUAGGUGGAUUGUUAAGUCAGUUGUGAAAGUUUGCGGCUCAACCGUAAAAUUGCAGUUGAAACUGGCAGUCUUGAGUACAGUAGAGGUGGGCGGAAUUCGUGGUGUAGCGGUGAAAUGCUUAGAUAUCACGAAGAACUCCGAUUGCGAAGGCAGUUCACUGGACCGCAACUGACACUGAGGCUCGAAAGUGUGGGUAUCAAACAGGAUUAGAUACCCGAGUAGUC